rnacentral:rRNA from 1 species
UUGGAGGGCAAGUCUGGUGCCAGCAGCCGCGGUAAUUCCAGCUCCAAUAGCGUAUAUUAAAGUUGUUGCAGUUAAAAAGCUCGUAGUUGAAUUUCGGGGUUCUUCCGUUGGUCAGGCUAACGAGUCUGUACUAGCGUGUAGAAUCUCUACCUUCUGGGGAACCAUCAUGUUAUUAAUUUAGCGUGGUGGGAAACCAGGACCUUUACCUUGAAAAAAUUAGAGUGUUCAAAGCAGGCUUACGUCUGAAUACAUUAGCAUGGAAUAAUAAAAUAGGACGGUGGUCCUGUUUUGUUGGUUUCUGAAUCACCGUAAUGAUUAAUAGGGAUAGUUGGGGGCAUUAGUAUUCAAUUGUCAGAGGUGAAAUUCUUGGAUUUAUUGAAGACUAACUUCUGCGAAAGCAUUUGCCAAGGAUGUUUUCAUUAAUCAAGAACGAAAGUUAGGGGAUCGAAGACGAUCAGAUACCGUCGUAGUCUUAACCAUAAACUAUGCCGACUAGGGAUCGGACGAUGUUAAAUUUUAUUGACUCGUUCGGCGCCUUACGGGAAAC